CCCUUUGGGGUGUGACUGCGUACCUUUUGUAUAAUGGGUCAGCGACUUAUAUUCUGUAGCAAGGUUAACCGUAUAGGGGAGCCGGAGGGAAACCGAGUCUUAAUUGGGCGUUAAGUUGCAGGGUAUAGACCCGAAACCCGGUGAUCUAGCCAUGGGCAGGUUGAAGGUUGGGUAACACUAACUGGAGGACCGAACCGACUAAUGUUGAAAAAUUAGCGGAUGACCUGUGGCUGGGGGUGAAAGGCCAAUCAAACCGGGAGAUAGCUGGUUCUCCCCGAAAGCUAUUUAGGUAGCGCCUCGUGAAUUCAUCUCCGGGGGUAGAGCACUGUUUCGGCUAGGGGGCCAUCCCGGCUUACCAACCCGAUGCAAACUGCGAAUACCGGAGAAUGUUAUCACGGGAGACACACGGCGGGUGCUAACGUCCGUCGUGAAGAGGGAAACAACCCAGACCGCCAGCUAAGGUCCCAAAGUCAUGGUUAAGUGGGAAACGAUGUGGGAAGGCCCAGACAGCCAGGAUGUUGGCUUAGAAGCAGCCAUCAUUUAAAGAAAGCGUAAUAGCUCACUGGUCGAGUCGGCCUGCGCGGAAGAUGUAACGGGGCUAAACCAUGCACCGAAGCUGCGGCAGCGAACGUAUCACUUAAAGCGAUUCAGCGGAUGACGAUUGACGGAGCGAAGCGACGUCAAAGCGUAUACAAAGUCGAGUCGGUUUAAGGAUACGUUCGUUGGGUAGGGGAGCGUUCUGUAAGCCUGCGAAGGUGGCCUGUGAGGGUUGCUGGAGGUAUCAGAAGUGCGAAUGCUGACAUAAGUAACGAUAAAGCGGGUGAAAAGCCCGCUCGCCGGAAGACCAAGGGUUCCUGUCCAACGUUAAUCGGGGCAGGGUGAGUCGACCCCUAAGGCGAGGCCGAAAGGCGUAGUCGAUGGGAAACGGGUUAAUAUUCCCGUACUUGGUGUUACUGCGAAGGGGGGACGGAGAAGGCUAUGUUGGCCGGGCGACGGUUGUCCCGGUUUAAGCGUAUAGGUGUGUGUUCCAGGUAAAUCCGGUUCACUUUAACACUGAGGCGUGAUGACGAGGC
rnacentral:rRNA from 1 species